CAAGCCUGAAAAUAAAUGUACAAUAUAGAUGAAAAUGGUAGGCUUGCUGAGCAAUGCAAGCCAUGCCCCCAGGCUCCAGUGUUACCAGUCUCCCUGUCUCUCCAACCCCUGCCCUGUGAUGGGAAUCGCAAGACCAGUCAUGUACGUGCUCCACUUCAGUGUCUGGGUUACCUGUCCUCUCCCUUCAACACAAUGUUAACAAUCUGCAAGCAAGUUCAUCCCCCUGCACGAGGCUUGAUGUCAGAAAUGGAGGUGUCAGCAAGGCCAGGUUCCCUCUGAAGUCCUUCUAGCUUCUGGCAGCCCCAGAUGUUCCUCAGGUUGUGGCAACUUAAUUCCAGUCUCCGCUUCUGUCUUCACAUGGCUGUCUCGUAUAUCCUCUUCUUACAAGGACGCCGGUCGUUCUGAGUGAGGGCCCACCUUAGCGACCUCAUCUUAAAUUGAUCACAUUGCAAGGACACUAUACUGUCUCAUUCACAGGUCCCAGGGGUUGGGACUUCAACACAUCUUGAGAGGGGUGCAGUUCAGCCCAGGACAGCAGGUAAUGUGACUUUGGGAGCUCUGAGGCAGGGCAGAGACAUCCUGGAGGAGGUGAGAAAACCCUCAGACUUCCCCUGAGGGUUGGGGCAUGUGAUCACCAGCGAAGGACUGAUUUGUCCUCAGUGUACCAUGUCUUGUCCAUCUGUGUCAGACAGAGCUUGGCACAAUGCCUGGCACACAGCAGGAGCUCAAUAAAUGCUUGCGCAAAGCUGAUGCUGCCGGGACUGAGAGCUGGCCCUGGAGCAAACCCUGCCUUGGCAUCCAACUGUCUCAUGGUGAGCAGCUCCCUCCAUCUGGGCAGGACCAUUUUGAGAUGAAGAGCUGAACACAGAAGCAGAAGGGCUGGUCAGUGGAUGCUGCCUUUGUCCAGGCAGGAGAUGUGUGAGGCAUGGCCUCAGGGGAUGAUGGUGGAAAGUGGAGGAAGACAUGAAGAGUAUUUCUGGUGUGCUGGUCAACGUUUAACAACUGGCUCCCUGGGUGGGGGGAUGUCUAAGUUGUAGUGUUUGCUAAUACCACGGUAUGAAGUCUCCCACUAUGACAGAUUUCAAGCUGCUGAUGGAAAUGUGGAGCUGGGCCCCCACAGGCUGGUAGGAGCCGGUUUCUGCAUUAGCAGGGUCUGUGAUUGACUGGAAGCAGGAUGAGGGAGCUUCUGGUGUUGGGCCUGGGCUGCAGGUGGAUGCUGGGGCCAUUUCCUGCACCAAGGGGCAGAUCCUCAUUGAGUCGGAGAUACCUAUGGGUGUCCUGAGUGUAGACAUCCAGAGGGCAGACCUGGGUGGGGAGGACAAGCCCAGGGGCUGUGUGUGUGCAAGCUCAUGUUCCCCGGCCUGCAGCUCUCCGGCAGGUCAGGGGGUGGGACCAACACCUCUCAGGGACAGAAAGCAGGCCUGAGGCACAGCGCCAGCCGCAGCAGCGGGCCUGGCCUGAGUCCUGCCUUUGUCCAGAGCCUGCAGGGAGCCACAGCUUGGGCUCCGAGUGGCCGGUGGGACUGAUGAAGUGACUCCUCUUGUUUGACUAUCAGGGCACCCGGGCCUUCUCCAAACUGCUCUGCGGGAGGGGCCUAAUCUGGCUUAAAUAUUGGUGAAUUCCCGCCAGGGGUUCCCAGGAAAUAAAAAUGAAUGAGUCACGCUGGAGAAUGAUGCUGAGGUUGCCCCACUGAGGGGUUGCCUGUUUGCAGGAAAAGUGCCAUCAAUACUGACUGGACAGGCCCUGUGACAGGGUCUUGGUCACUGGAACCAAGUCAGGCUAUUGGAGGCCACAAGCAAGGCAGCCUCGUUACUGUGGUGGCUCAGCCGCAAGAUGAUGAUCUGCCCAGGUGUAGCCAGCUUCAGGAGGUGCCGUUCUGGCCGCAGCGUCUAUUACUGAGCUGGCCUGUGACUGCGAGGCCCAUCACAGAUGUUGCCUGUGAAGCCCAGGAGAACCGCAAAGGAAGGGGGUCCCAGCCACCUUCCCCAGCCCCUCGCGGCACCUGCCCUAACCUGCUGCAGGGGCCAAUCUUUCCAGAGGGAGGCGCUCCAGUCCCCAGUGGGGAGUCAGGCUCCUGCAAGUGAGAUGGUAAACUGCUGCCGGCGGCUCAGGAGUGGACCCUGGGAAGAGUGGGGUGGCGGUCCCUGCCAUCCACUGAGAGGCCCCUGAGUCUAUGAGGCAGGCCUGCCCUCCCCAGCCCUGACCCAAGCAGUGGAUGAGCAGGGAAAUGAGAAGGGUCAACCAACCUGCGCUCUCAGGACAAGGAGAGGGAAUCAGUGGCACGGAGGCGGAGAGGCGGCCCCUCUUGGCUGUGUGCAUUUCCUGCUGAAUUAGGACUCCCAGCUGGAUUACCAGGCCCGUGCUAUGGGCACCUCUUGGCAGUCGUGGAUACGCUGUUCCAAGAAACGAAAGCAGGCUGGCUUGUGCCUCUUGUGAGGCGGAGAUGAGGACCUGCCCGUGGAGGUGUGCAUGGGCCAUCCUCUCCAGGAUGAAUGGUUCACGAGCUGGGUGAGAGCUGCUCAGCCCACCGAGGCAUCCUCUGCAGGAUUAAACGUCAUUCCUUCUAAUGACUUGAUUUAUGUCUGGAGGUUUACAGCUCCAAACAAAAUAUUGUGAUGAUGGUAAUAAAUCAC